rnacentral:lncRNA from 1 species
GUUUCUUCCACCACGUGAAACUUUAUUACACCAAGAAGUACCUUACAAUUAAGCUCAAGACCUACAGGAAGCUAUUAAAAUUAAUGGAGGAGCCAAAUGUGGAGCAGAACAUCUCUGGACAUCAAGUUGACCGGCCAAAAUUUCCUGGAACAGGUACCUUUCUGUUUUCCACAAUAAAUAUACAAGCCAAAAUGCAAAUAGAAUUGGAAGCAGAAAUGAGAUACAGUCACUCAUGCAAAUUUACUAGUUAAGCUAAUUAAAAGAAAAUAUUCCAUUCAUUUAUUCAGCCUAAGUUUAUUUGAAAGUUAAUCCCUUUGAAAUCCGUCAGUAUCUCAUAUGCCAUAAAAAAGUAAAAUUUAGUUAAAUAAAUAUCGUUUGAUUUUAUCUACUAUAUGCAAAUAAAUGGUUAGACAUUCAAGGAGGAGAAAAGUUCAUGAGACAUUUACUAUCUCUAGGUGCUACAGGAUAAUUGUCAGGAGUUUACUAUAUGCUUCACAAAGAUAUAGUAAGUGCUAUAGAAUAAACUUAAUUAAAUUUAAGUUAUAAUGGAGCCACAGAGCACAUGAAGGAGCCAUUUUUUUUUUUUUUUUGCAAUAGUACGAGGGGAUUUUAAGGCAGGAGAUGGCAAUAUCAACUGGCUACAUAUGUCUAUAGGACUUCAAAAUAAAAGUGAUGAUAAUGGUAGUUGGUCAAACAAAGGCAAAGAUAUGAAAAAUGUUUAAUGUUCUCAGAAAAUGGUGAUUCAAAUUAUGUUUUUUAAAUGGAUUUUUAAGGGAUUGUUGGAGAAAUUGGGAUAUGAUUUUUUUAAUAACUUGUAUGUCUUCCAAGAACUGGUAUGCAACAGACUCUAAAUUUCAUCCUGUUAUUAUUGGUAUAGACUAAUCUUAGGUGGUUCAUUUUCUCCUAUAUUUAUCUACCUUUUCCUGUCGCUCGAUAAAGAUUUACUGCUCUAUCUUUUCCUGUCUCUCAGUAAAGAUUUCCUGAUACCUACAGAAAAACUUUGCCAAGGAUAGGUUAGUUACAUUUAUUCCCAGGUAAUUGAAAUAAAAUAUACUGUAGAGCGUUCAUCAGCACAUAUUCUUGAGAAACUUCCUUCUUUGAUUGUAUUUCUUAUUUGCCAAUCCAUCACAAACCAGAGUUAUCACUUCUCAUUUCUAUACUUAAAAAAAUAAUAGCAGCAAAACUCUUUGUUUAAUGACUCCUAAAUUGGAUCAUUCCCAUAAAAUUGCCCUGCUCUCCCAAGCUGUUUCUCACCUUUGAUCUGCUUAGGACAGUCUUUCAGCCCUGUCCUAAGAAGAGUUCCAAUUUCCCUUCUGAGCCACCUUUUAAAAGAAGUAAUUAUAUUUAGAACCCUGGAGCCAAAAAUGGCUUAUGUCUGAUAAAAUAAAUUGGAUUAAUUUUCUUUUCCCUUUAGAGUGAACAGUACUUGACUGAAUAAUAUCUUAAAGAUGCUUUGGAUUCAAACACUGAGCUUAUGAGCAUAGUCUCAGUUUCAUUGCCGCUAUAAACCUGGGAAGAGCAUUCAAAACUACAAAAAUAAACAAAAACAUAGAAAAAGUAAAAAAAGCACACAAAAAUAAACAACAGACAAUAGGAAAAGCCAACCUAAUGUUUUUAAGAUUCAUUAAUCUUGUAGUAUGUAUCACAACCCAUUCCUUUUUGUGGUGAAUACAAUUUUGUUGCAUAAAUAAGUCACAUUUUGUUUAUUCAUUGAUGGAAAUUUUGGGUUGUUUUCACCUUAUGAUUAUAGUGACUAAUGAUGCUUUGAAUCUCCUUGUGUGUUUGUGUGCAUACAUUGUUUUCUAUCUUGAGUUUAUACCUAACAGCAGGAUUGAUGGAUCACAUGUUAACACUAUGUAUAACUUUAUGAAGUAAUUUGAAACAGUUUUCCAAGGUGACUGUACCAUUUUGCAAUCCCACAGUAAUGCAUGAGAGUUCCCAUUUGUCCAUAUCUUCUCCAACACUUACUUUCCAUCUGUUUGAUUAGAUAAUCUAUUGCAUAGGAAGUGGCAUCUCAUGGUUUGACCAAUUAUGUGGAUCCUUUUUUUCACAUGCUUAUUGAGCAUUUAUAUACAUUCUUUGGAGAAAUGUCAAUUCAAAUCCUUUGUCUGUUUUUUAAG